UCUCGUCACUCGCUCGUAGGUUCCGGAAGCCGAACAGAGAAGGAGGGAGAGUGGCCAGUGGGUGGGGGAGACAGGUGUCCCACGCACGCUGCGACGUCAUGUCCCUCCUCCUUAUCGCUCGUUCUUGUCGUCCUCGCUCGCCCGUCCGUCCGUCGGUGUUUCGCGACGACGACGACGACGGUCGGGGCGUGUCGGACCCGAGACUAUUAACUAACUGCGUUUGGGUCGAUAGUGGAGGGGAAAAACAAAUUAGAUAUCGUAUAUAUUAGUAGUUUAGGGGUGAGUAGGGAUGUGAAUAAAGAGCCAAGAACCGUGGAAGGACAGAAAAGGUCUAAAGUAACCUAAGGUAUAUCCCGGAGGUGGUGUAAGUAAACGAAACUAUCGAUGGUCGACAAGGAGAAGGAGGCAAGAGGUCUAAAGAACCGAGGGACCCGAGGGACAGAACGGGCCUCUAACGUUAGAACGCCUCGAGAAGAAACCAAAGAACAAGGUACGACCCUCGGUACCUACUCUCCUAGGGCGGCGGGGGAAAGAAGGUCAUGAGCGGCAGACCGCAGGUAAGAAGGGGAGUGGUGGUGUUGGGGUAGUCCAGCAGACGGAGGCUCUCCCUCUCCAGACACGGGGAGGAGGAGAACACUUGACGACACUUCAAAAGCAAAAAUAGAAGCGCGGCUAGGACGAUCGAACUUUUUGAGCAGCACCCGCACUCUAAACUGAGACCAGCACGCUCUAAACACGGAUUAGACCUGGUAGGGCCACACUAAGACCACUGCCAGUUUACUACAGGGGUGCGACAUCACUAGAGGGUUCAACUCCUAAACCCCUAACGGAAGAUUACGAUCUAAACACGAACGAUAAUGCUUAUUUACUCGUGCUACAGGAGCUAACCGGAGACUAUCACACUUCAAGUAAACGUCCCACGAGUAACAACACUGAAAACUAAUCCAGCGAUUAAUAACCACGAUAAGAAUAAAAGACAAGAAUUCAUUUAUACACGGACACCAUGAACGUCGACUAGAAUGAUUACUCUAAUAAACGAAGCAUCCAUAUAACGACUCAAUGAACGGCUCUCCGUCUUCGAUCAAGGAAAGGACGUUCAAGAAGGUAAAACAUUGUCCGAAAAUUUGGUUCUUUAAGACGCCCGUAGAAGAAACGGUGGAUUGGGUUUAAAACAACUUGGACUCUCUAAGCUAAUACCAUCGGGCAAUUCUAAUCGACCGGUGGGAUACUUGCCAGUUGGUUACCUAUACCUCCCUACCUGACCUUACGUACGUCUCGUAUACCCCUAUGUGGUAAGUGGUAGGUACCCGACCUUACCACCAGGACCUCAACAACCGCCGGGACAACACUUCUUUGAACAGUCCUACCUACAAGGUCGUCUUUUCAUAGGUUUAAAGUUGAAACAACCAGCAAACAACCCCGGUGCUCCUUUGAGAGACUUUUCUCAACUUCGAUGUUGUGUUACAUCUCAGAUAUAAGCACCUGCACCAAGUCACUUUCUAUGACACUUCCUUUUGUUCGAAUCUCUAUUCGGACCGAUACUCGUGAAUUUGCUUGGUGACGUACACGAAUAGCUUCGACUCAAGGGCCGCCUAUAACAACUACACGCUGAUUUGGUCCGACACCAGUAUGACCUUCUAGAAGAGUUUGGUCAUCUACUUAGGUACCUAAUGAAGUUCUUCGUUGUCGACUCUCUUAACCGUUAUGACUUACCUUGAGAUUCCCUCCUUUCGGGUUCGGGUCCGGGUGUAGAGUCAGGGUCACACAGUGGGAAGUUGAGGUGGCCCUACUUUGCGCGCUUUUGCCCGGCGAUUAGCUAGCACGAAGACUUGUGACUAAACGGACUCCACUGGUACCAAACUUGUCUAACGCGCGUUUGGACAAGAUGACGACACUUACUAAGGACUACGUAUACUCCCUGGCCGGAACUCCGACCAGCGUAGACACUAUGCUCGACUCCAUAUAGAAACCUACUUACCAGCGAUACCUUCUUUAAGCAAGCCAGACGAGCACCUUGGCCCCGGACGACAAACCAGAACAACUAAUAAGAGACACAUAGAUAGACUGAGGGUUUAUAAUUGCAACAGCCAAGCCUAAUCAAUUGCACUAACUAGACACCAAGUUUCAUUUUAUCAACACCUGUUAUUAGUCCCAAAAACAGUCAACAUUGUACAGGCUCCCCAAACUACAAGAACACCUGUCGGUACCAACCACGUUCAGAUUUAUUCUAAACAAAAGGGUUACCGUAAGGUUACAUACUUGGCGUUCGUUGUAGUACUUCUAGUGAGUCCUGUAGACCCGGACCG
rnacentral:rRNA from 1 species